UACGGGGGGAGCAAGCGUUGUUCGGAUUUACUGGGCGUAAAGGGCGCGUAGGCGGCCACCGCAAGUCAAUUGUGAAAUCUCCGGGCUUAACUCGGAAAGGUCAACUGAUACUGCGGGGCUAGAGUGCGGAAGGGGCAACUGGAAUUCCUGGUGUAGCGGUGGAAUGCGCAGAUAUUGGAAAGAACACCGAUGGCGAAGGCACUCUACUGGGCUAUUACUGACACUCAGAGACGAAAGCUAGGGGAGCAAAUGGG
rnacentral:rRNA from 1 species